UACGUAGGGUGCGAGCGUUGUCCGGAAUUAUUGGGCGUAAAGGGCUCGUAGGCGGUUUGUCGCGUCGGGAGUGAAAUCCACUGGCUUAACUGGUGGCUUGCUUUCGAUACGGGCAGACUGGAGGUAUGCAGGGGGAGAACGGAAUUCCUGGUGUAGCGGUGAAAUGCGCAGAUAUCAGGAGGAACACCGGUGGCGAAGGCAGAUCUCUGGGCCGUAACUGACGCUGAGGAGCGAAAGCAUGGGGAGCGAACAGG
rnacentral:rRNA from 1 species